rnacentral:rRNA from 1 species
UAGAGUUUGAUCCUGGCUCAGAUUGAACGCUGGCGGCAGGCCUAACACAUGCAAGUCGAGCGGCAGCGGGAAAGUAGCUUGCUACUUUUGCCGGCGAGCGGCGGACGGGUGAGUAAUGCCUGGGGAUCUGCCCAGUCGAGGGGGAUAACAGUUGGAAACGACUGCUAAUACCGCAUACGCCCUACGGGGGAAAGGAGGGGACCUUCGGGCCUUUCGCGAUUGGAUGAACCCAGGUGGGAUUAGCUAGUUGGUGGGGUAAUGGCUCACCAAGGCGACGAUCCCUAGCUGGUCUGAGAGGAUGAUCAGCCACNCUGGAACUGAGACACGGUCCAGACUCCUACGGGAGGCAGCAGUGGGGAAUAUUGCACAAUGGGGGAAACCCUGAUGCAGCCAUGCCGCGUGUGUGAAGAAGGCCUUCGGGUUGUAAAGCACUUUCAGCGAGGAGGAAAGGUUGGCGCCUAAUACGUGUCAACUGUGACGUUACUCGCAAAAGAAGCACCGGCUAACUCCGUGCCAGCAGCCGCGGUAAUGCGGAGGGUGCAAGCGUUAAUCGGAAUUACUGGGCGUAAAGCGCACGCAGGCGGUUGGAUAAGUUAGAUGUGAAAGCCCCGGGCUCAACCUGGGAAUUGCAUUUAAAACUGUCCAGCUAGAGUCUUGUANAGGGGGGUAGAAUUCCAGGUGUAGCGGUGAAAUGCGUAGAGAUCUGGAGGAAUACCGGUGGCGAAGGCGGCCCCCUGGACAAAGACUGACGCUCAGGUGCGAAAGCGUGGGGAGCAAACAGGANUAGAUACCCUGGUAGUCCACGCCGUANACGAUGUCNAUUUGGANGCUGUGUCCUUGAGACGUGNNUUCCNGANCUAACGCGUUAAAUC